UACAGAGGUCACAAGCGUUAUCCGGAUUUAUUGGGCGUAAAGCGUUUCGUAGGUGGUUCGUAAAGUUACUCUUCAAAGACCACGGCUCAACCGGGGGAAGGGGAGUAAUACUAACGGACUUGAAAUAUGAUGGGGCUUCCGGAACUGAUGGUGUAGUAGUGAAAUACGUUGAUAUCAUCAGGAACUCCGAGGGCGAAGGCAGGAAGCUAAUCAUUUUUUGACACUGAGGAACGACAGCUAGGGGA
rnacentral:rRNA from 1 species